AAAUGGCAAAAAGACAAAAAAAAAAAAAAAAAAAAAAGAAAGAAAGAAAGAAACUGACUGCUUUGUUACUUUUUUCCCAUUUAUAUAAACCUCUUGAAUGUCUGACUUAGUAGAAGACAAACUGGAUUUUUAUACCUACUUCUGCUUCAAUUUAUUGCUAUAUUGUUUUUGUGGAAGUAUAUGAAAAAAAAAAUCUAAGCUCAUACAAUUAUGAAGUUGGCAAAAGAAGCAUUUUAAUAGCCUUUUCAAAUAAUUGUGAAGAUUCUUUUAUACAACAUCAAAAGUCAACAAGUGGUAGUUUCUUGAUAUGUGGAAUCUGAAACCAUAUCAAUGAGCUUUUCAUGCUUCAUUACAUUAAAAUUCAUUGAUCAGAUUUGCAGUUUGAGUGUAUAUUUUACCCACGCAUGAUUUUGUACCAUCAUGCUUUGGAUAUUUGAAAAAUAUUGUUUAUGCAGAUCUUCCAAAUGUAAACUUAAUGAAAUAUAAAUUUCAUCCUAUAAUUAUGUAUAUAUUUAUAUUACAUAAAAUAUGUAAUAUAAAAAUUACAUCUGUUUAUAUCACAUAAUUCUAUGUAAAUUCUUAGGGUAUUUAGAAGCUGUCAAGCUCAUAGUGACAGACAUGAGUUUUACAAAAUUCUUUUUUUUUUUCUUUUUUUUUUGUUUUUAUUUUUUUUUCGUUCUCUUUUUUUUUUUCUUUCUUUUUUCUUCUUCUUUUAGAGUUUUACAAAAUUCUAAUUCCCUUUAGAAAUCUUGAGUUUUAUCAUUGGCAACAAGACUUUCACUUUUCCUUUAAAUGACAGCUUCGCUUCGCUAAUUUUUGAGAAGAUGUCUAUCAGAUAUUCAAGUCUGAUAGCCUAUCAGUUGUUCAUUCAGGUAGAACUGGUCCUCCAUGGAAAAAACUCAAGAUCAGCUUAAAACUCACACACGCUUUUCCUCAAGCCAACCGUCAGACUUUCAUAGGCAAUACAAGUGCUUUCUGCUUACUUCCUAUAUUCACACACAUGGAAUAUUUAAAAGAUGUAUACUCAGGGUUGAUAUUUAAUAAGAUCAUUUUCAUUACAUCAUCAAGGACAUCCUCCAGUGAAAUUUGUAUUGUGUUUUUUCCCUGCUAGCGCAUGGCACUGAAGUAUUUGGAGACUACAGUGCCAUCUGGAGCCACUUGUGCUAUGGUACCAGCAGUUUUACUCAUGGUGUUAUGCACCAUUGUUACAACUAUAUCAAAAAAGCCAAAUAACAUCUUAGCAUUAGAAAGAAAAUAAUUUUGACCUCACAAACCUCCUGAGAGGUCUGAGACCACAGGGGAUCUGCGGACCACACUUUGAGGAUGCAGCCAAUCUUGUAAGAUUGAAAUAAAGACUUUUUUUUUUUGAGAUCAACUGUAAGAGGCCCCGAGUUCCCGUCGUGGCGCAGUGGUUAACGAAUCCGACUAGGAACCAUGAGGUUGCGGGUUCGGUCCCUGCCCUUGCUCAGUGGGUUAACGAUCCGACGUUGCCGUGAGCUGUGGUGUAGGUUGCAGACGCGGCUCGGAUCCUGCGUUGCUGUGGCUCUGGCGCAGGCCGGUGGCUACAGCUCCGAUUAGACCCCUAGCCUGGGAACCUCCAUAUGCCGCGGGAGCGGCCCAA
rnacentral:lncRNA from 1 species